CUUCUUAACACGCACCGGCCCGGCGGCGGUCCCUAGGGGGCGUUUUUACGUGUUUUUGUACUUUAUUUAACAUCAAAUAUUCAAUCAACAAUCAUAAACUUUGCAUUAUUUGAAAGUUUAAACACUCAAAAUUCAUGUUCUGAGCUUAUUUUUGCAAUCAAUACACUGGUGUGGAAAGGGUUACAUGAAAUGCAGACGGAACGCAUAUAAAAAUGGGUGUGGGUACUCACAUGUCUUGCCAUAUGGUUCUGAUCAUCUCUGACAAUUCCCAAAAACUUCAACGUACAUUGCAAUGUAAGGGUCCACUCUUCAAAAAGCAUCCCACGUUUUAAUCCAAAACAACGAAAAAUAGUGAUAAAUCCAGCAAUACCCUCCUUUAUUUACAUCCGCGCGUCCGCUAAGUAUGAUCGAUCAUGUUUAUUUUCUAUCAAAUAUCGAGUUUUAUCAGUGAAAAUCCAUCUCUUCCUGCUUCGUUGGACUCUUCCGAUAAAUAUCCCGCCCUAUUUUUCUGUUUUGUUCAAUCAGAUAAGGUUUGACAACUCAAAAUGAAUCGGGAACACCGAUUUGCCCAGACAGAUGUCCUUCAGCUAACCAUAGGCUUUUGACUGGAUUACGCCAAAACAAAGCCAGCCAAUGCUUAGCCAGCAAAGUUUUGAUGGGCAGGGGUAGUAACCAAUCAUGAAACGAUUACAAGGAUUCAACUUACGUCAGUAAAGUGUACUUCUGCGCAAAUCUACAGAAGCGCAUGGAGAGGAAUGCCCACGCCCCCUCCCUGCGCCUUUGUUUGUUUGGGUAGCAUAGCAGCCGGCUAGGCUCUCCGGAGCCGCUGAGAAACCUCUCAAAGGUUAGAUAUAACAUCUCCAUUGUGGAUUAUCGACUGCAGAGGACUUGUUUGUGUUGAGAGUGUUUUGGAGAAGUUGAUAAAGAGCAUGAUCGCGGAGCAAAGAUACAAGAUUGGAUAUAAACGAAACCGCGUCGUCGACGAGAGAUGGACCGGACUAUGAGCUCAGCUGCGCUCGCUUGGAUAAAGUCUUCAGCUGACAUCCAGAGGAGGACUGGAAUCUGGAGUGCAUUCAUGAGCGACCACAUUCAAAAUAGCAAGUAUUUUGUUAUAAUGUGCAAAUGUUUUUUUCUGAAAUAGUUUUUUCUAUGUGCUUUGGUGGGCAGAGAAGUUCUGAAUUGAUAUACAUCAUGUAAUAUGUAGUCCUGACUCAUUUUCUUUUGAUAAUCAUGUCAUUUUGUUAUCAUGUGUAUAUUUGGAGUUUCCAAGUGCACUUUUUCUGAAAGGACGCCUGGACUUUUUUGAAAUAAAAGCUCACAGAAACAACA